rnacentral:rRNA from 1 species
UACGGGGGGGGCAAGCGUUGUUCGGAAUUACUGGGCGUAAAGGGUUCGUAGGCGGCCAACUAAGUCAGACGUGAAAUCCCCAGGCUCAACCUGGGAACUGCGUCUGAUACUGAUUGGCUUGAAUCCGGGAGAGGGAUGCAGAAUUCCAGGUGUAGCGGUGAAAUGCGUAGAUAUCUGGAGGAAUACCGGUGGCGAAGGCGGCAUCCUGGACCGGCAUUGACGCUGAGGAGCGAAGGCCAGGGGAGCAAACGGG